rnacentral:rRNA from 1 species
CAAGUCGAACGCGAAAGCUCCCUUCGGGGAGCAAGUAGAGUGGCGCACGGGUGAGUAACACGUAGGUAAUCUACCUUUGGAUGGGGAAUAACAACCGGAAACGGUUGCUAAUACCGCAUAAUGCAGCGGCACCUAUGGUGACAGUUGUUAAAGCGGGGGAUCGUAAGACCUCGCGUCUGAAGAGGAGCCUGCGGCAGAUUAGCUAGUUGGUAGGGUAACGGCUUACCAAGGCGAUGAUCUGUAGCCGGCCUGAGAGGGCGGUCGGCCACACUGACACUGACAUACGGGUCAGACUCCUACGGGAGGCAGCAGUCGGGAAUUUUGGGCAAUGGGCGAAAGCCUGACCCAGCAACGCCGCGUGAAGGAUGAAAUCCCUCGGGAUGUAAACUUCGCAAGAACGGGAAGAAUAAGUAAGGGUUAAUAUCUCUUACGAUGACGGUACUGUUUGUAAGCUCCGGCUAACUCCGUGCCAGCAGCCGCGGUAAUACGGGGGGGCAAGCGUUGUUCGGAUUUACUGGGCGUAAAGGGCGCGUAGGCGGCCUCUGCAAGUCGACUGUGAAAUCUCCGGGCUUAACCCGGAACGGUCAGCCGAUACUGCAGGGCUAGAGUGCAGAAGGGGCAACUGGAAUUCUCGGUGUAGCGGUGAAACGCGUAGAUAUCGAGAGGAACACCUGCGGCGAAGGCGGGUUGCUGGGCUGACACUGACGCUNAGGCGCGAAAGCUAGGGGAGCGAACGGGAUUAGAUACCCCGGUAGUCCUAGCCUUAAACGAUGAAUGCUUGGUGUCUGGGGUUUUAUAGUCCCCGGGUGCCGUC